rnacentral:rRNA from 1 species
CCUACGGGUGGCAGCAGUGAGGAAUAUUGGUCAAUGGACGGAAGUCUGAACCAGCCAUGCCGCGUGCAGGAAGACGGCUCUAUGAGUUGUAAACCUCUUUUAUGCGGGGAUAAAGGUGUCCACGUGUGGAUGUUUGCAGGUACCGCAUGAAUCAGGACCGGCUAAUUCCGUGCCAGCAGCCGCGGUAAUACGGAAGGUCCGGGCGUUAUCCGGAUUUAUUGGGUUUAAAGGGAGCGUAGGCCGGUCUUUAAGCGUGCCGUGAACUUUUGUGGCUCAACCAUGAGAGUGCGGCGCGAACUGGAGACCUUGAGUGCGCGGAAGGCAGGCGGAAUUCGUGGUGUAGCGGUGAAAUGCUUAGAUAUCACGAAGAACCCCGAUUGCGAAGGCAGCCUGCCGCAGCGUUACUGACGCUGAAGCUCGAAAGCGCGGGUAUCGAACAGGAUUAGAUACCCGGGUAGUC